GAUGAACGCUGGCGGCGUGCUUAACACAUGCAAGUCGAACGGAAAGGCCUCUGCUUGCAGGGGUACUCGAGUGGCGAACGGGUGAGUAACACGUGGGUGAUCUGCCCUGCACUUCGGGAUAAGCCUGGGAAACUGGGUCUAAUACCGGAUAGGACAAUGGUUUGGAUGCUGUUGUGGAAAGUUUUUCGGUGUGGGAUGAGCUCGCGGCCUAUCAGCUUGUUGGUGGGGUAAUGGCCUACCAAGGCGUCGACGGGUAGCCGGCCUGAGAGGGUGUACGGCCACAUUGGGACUGAGAUACGGCCCAGACUCCUACGGGAGGCAGCAAUGGGGAAUAUUGCACAAUGGGCGCGAGCCUGAUGCAGCGACGCCGCGUGGGGGAUGACGGCCUUCGGGUUGUAAACUCCUUUCGCUAGGGACGAAGCGUUUUUGUGACGGUACCUGGAGAAGAAGCACCGGCUAACUACGUG
rnacentral:rRNA from 1 species